rnacentral:rRNA from 1 species
GACGUAGGGCGCGAGCGUUGUCCGGAUUUAUUGGGCGUAAAGAGCUCGUAGGCGGCUUGUCGCGUCGACUGUGAAAACCCGCGGCUCAACUGCUGGCUUGCAGGCGAUACGGGCAGACUUGAGUACUGCAGGGGAGACUGGAAUUCCUGGUGUAGCGGUGAAAUGCGCAGAUAUCAGGAGGAACACCGGUGGCGAAGGCGGGUCUCUGGGCCGAUACUGACGCUGAGGAGCGAAAGCGUGGGGAGCGAACAGG